AGAGAAUGAAGAAUAUGAAUGGGCAACAGCAGUGAAAGCUUCUCCAACACUGUCCUCUCAAUUUGCCUCAACCCU
rnacentral:sRNA from 1 species